CAUUUGUGUGCUACCAUGCAGUCGAGCGGUAGCACAGAGAGCUUGCUCUCGGGUGACGAGCGGCGGACGGGUGAGUAAUGUCUGGGAAACUGCCUGAUGGAGGGGGAUAACUACUGGAAACGGUAGCUAAUACCGCAUAACGUCGCAAGACCAAAGUGGGGGACCUUCGGGCCUCAUGCCAUCAGAUGUGCCCAGAUGGGAUUAGCUAGUAGGUGGGGUAACGGCUCACCUAGGCGACGAUCCCUAGCUGGUCUGAGAGGAUGACCAGCCACACUGGAACUGAGACACGGUCCAGACUCCUACGGGAGGCAGCAGUGGGGAAUAUUGCACAAUGGGCGCAAGCCUGAUGCAGCCAUGCCGCGUGUAUGAAGAAGGCCUUCGGGUUGUAAAGUACUUUCAGCGGGGAGGAAGGCGAUAAGGUUAAUAACCUUGUCGAUUGACGUUACCCGCAGAAGAAGCACCGGCUAACUCCGUGCCAGCAGCCGCGGUAAUACGGAGGGUGCAAGCGUUAAUCGGAAUUACUGGGCGUAAAGCGCACGCAGGCGGUCUGUCAAGUCGGAUGUGAAAUCCCCGGGCUCAACCUGGGAACUGCAUUCGAAACUGGCAGGCUAGAGUCUUGUAGAGGGGGGUAGAAUUCCAGGUGUAGCGGUGAAAUGCGUAGAGAUCUGGAGGAAUACCGGUGGCGAAGGCGGCCCCCUGGACAAAGACUGACGCUCAGGUGCGAAAGCGUGGGGAGCAAACAGGAUUAGAUACCCUGGUAGUCCACGCCGUAAACGAUGUCGAUUUGGAGGUUGUGCCCUUGAGGCGUGGCUUCCGGAGCUAACGCGUUAAAUCGACCGCCUGGGGAGUACGGCCGCAAGGUUAAAACUCAAAUGAAUUGACGGGGGCCCGCACAAGCGGUGGAGCAUGUGGUUUAAUUCGAUGCAACGCGAAGAACCUUACCUGGUCUUGACAUCCACAGAACUUAACCAGAGAUGGCUUGGUGCCUUCGGGAACUGUGAGACAGGUGCUGCAUGGCUGUCGUCAGCUCGUGUUGUGAAAUGUUGGGUUAAGUCCCCGCAACGAGCGCAACCCUUAUCCUUUGUGCCAGCGGGUUAGGCCCGGGAACUUCAAAAGGAAGACUGCCAGUGAUAAUCCUGGGAGGAAAGGUGGGGGAUG
rnacentral:rRNA from 1 species